rnacentral:lncRNA from 1 species
GGAGAGAUUCCUUUCUCGGUGAAACCCCUUUUGAGCUCAAUACCCACCACCACCACCAACACCACUCACUCACCAAGCUCGCUCUCUCUCUCUCUCUCUCUCUCUCUCUCCUCUUGCUGGUGUUCCACCUCGUCGCUGUGCAUUUCAUGAACUCCGGAGAUGAUGAGAGAAAAUCAGUCAUCGGAAAAUUCCAAACCGGUAAAACUGAAACUUUCUUCAGGUAAGAAAGGGUGGCUUAAUAAGUUAUUUGGGUUGCUUUUUAAUUGGUUAAAUAUUUCAAUUCGGAAAAGUAUCUGUUUCUAAUAUUUACAUGCUACUUCAUAUUUUUAGAGUAAAUUUGAGUUCUCUGCUUUGAGCUUCUCCGUUGAGGUCGAUGAGGCAAAUCAAAAAGUAGGAAAAUGAAAAGAACAGAAAGAUCAAAUUGAAAACAAGGGGCAUUCCGAGAAUCGAACUCGGGACCUCUCGCACCCAAAGCGAGAAUCAUACCACUAGACCAAAUGCCCUCUAUAUGCCAGAUAAUACCUGCAAAUCAUAAUUACUUUGAUCUAGGAUUCGUUUUCUUUUAUUAAUAGCAGUCAUCCAGAUCCAGUUGCUUCCUUUUUUUUUUUUUUUUUUUUUUUUUGUUUACUUGUUCCUUAUGGAUAUUUUGUUGGACUUUAAUACCCUGAAUUAGAGUGAAACUUCGUUACGACUAGGGCAGCUCUUACAUGGGACGGGCUUCGGUUUUGUGAGAGGUGUCCAAGGAAUGACAUGUUUCGUAGCCCUACCCAAGUUUUUCUCCGAAAGUUGGGUGCCCUAGGGAUGAGGUAGUCACGCUAGUUAAGCUCACGGAUUACGAUCAUGAGAAUGACUUUGAAAUUCCCUUCCCCAUCCCAUGUUUGGAAAGCACAAUCUUGGGAAUGCUAUUCUUGGCUCAUGGGUAUAAAUGUGGAAUUUUGAAACCUUUGGCCCCCUAGCAUAAAUUCACUAGGGACUUCAAAGUAUUGAUUAACUCUCCUUGGUCCUGAAAAUCGGCAUAAAUUAACAAAUGGAACACCGAUGCUUUGUGUGGUACAAUUGUAAAGUAGGGUUCUCUAGCUAGUGUGCGGAUCUAAUGGUUUCUUACUAAUAUUUAGUUCAGUUAGCAUCAAAACUGGUGUUGGAAACAGCGUCUUCGGAUUACUAGGUGUCGUGAGUUGAUUUAAGUCCGUGUGUGUGAUAUCAAUGGCAUUUCAAGAAAUCGAACUCUUUAUCUCUUGCAACAUGUUUAGAGCAAUCCUAUAUAAAAAAGGUCGUACCCAGUGCACAAGGCUCCCGCUUUACGCAGGGUCUGGGAGAGCAAUCCUAUAUGAAUAAAAAAAAGGAGUAAAACAUUGUAUGGGCCACAUUUUCGGAUCAGCUAAAUGAUGUUUACUUGUCAUAACGGGUGCUGCUAGUGUUUACGUAACUUUUGUUCAUGUUUUUGUUGGCUUUAGCUGAUUGGCCUGAUUGAUUAAGUUAGUACUUUCUGUGGCUGAUAAUAUCUGAUCCUCUGUUUCAAGUGUUUUGCAAUUUUUUUCUGCUCGAGUUUUUGUUAGGCGUUAUGUGUGGAUUUCUGGCUAAGAUGAAACAGGAUUAUAGGAUUAAAAUAAAACCUAAAAAGGUACAAAAAAAGGGGCAUUCCGAGAAUCGAACUCGGGACCUCUCGCACCCAAAGCGAGAAUCAUACCACUAGACCAAAUGCCCUCACAAUCAACAUUUACACGUGGAAAUGGUAAUUAUCUUAAAUCUGUGAAUGGUUUUUUAUGCUAUUGCAUUGAUCCAGUGUCUCCUAUUGCCAUAUACUUGUUUCUUGUGGAUACGGUGUCUGACCUCUUAUGUUGUGUUUCCCAUGAAGUUAUAUGACUGAUACAGUAAAAUGUGGAAUUCUUCUUAAAAUACUAGUAGCUUAGCAUUAAGUAUCGAUACAUUGGUUCUGAAAAUCUGUAUAAAUUAGCAAUUGGAAUGCUUCUAUCUGUGCUACAAUUAGGGUUCUCUAGGUUACGCAUUCAAUCGUGUUUUGCUAAUAUUUCUUAAAGCUAGCUCCGACCUGUUUUCCCUAAGAAACCAAAACUUGUUCGGAAAACUAAACUUAACAUCUUGUGUUGAAGUGCAGGUGUGGUAAAAUCUAAAUGUUUGAGGUAGGGCAUUUCCUGAAAGGGCCUCAAGUAGUCGGAAGCAAGAAUUAUGCGGUGCACCAAGCCUUAUCAAUGACGUCCAAGUACUCAACUCUUCAUCUUUCGCAACCAAAUCAAGAAGAGUAAUGUUCCAUGGAAAAAGAAUAGCCACAGGUAACACAAAAAGGGGCAUUCCGAGAAUCGAACUCGGGACCUCUCGCACCCAAAGCGAGAAUCAUACCACUAGACCAAAU